rnacentral:lncRNA from 10 species
CACAACUCUAUGCUUUUUACCUUACAACUGCACAGGCCCCGCCCCCGCGGUCCCUCUGCAGACCCCGCCUCUCCCCGGGCUCCGCCCCAGGCUACCCGGGCUCUGCGCGCACGUGCAGUUUCUUGGAGUCCCGGAAGCGGAUCGCGGUGUGUGAAGGUGACACCGCCGAGCAAGAGUGUGCCUAGGUGUAGAUUAAGCCUUCGAUUCGCCGUCCCGCUUUUCCACACCCGCUCUGCUGACCUUAAAAUCCCCGCAUCGCGCCCUUCACCCGAGCUCCACCCGCUGGAAAAUGUGCUCCUCCAGGAUCCAGGUGUCUUACUCCAAACCCUCCUGUGAAUGUGUGGGCCAAAGGGAUCAGGAAACAGAGAGGGGCUGAGAGUGAAUUACAAAAACUGAGAGGAAAGAAUGAAGGAAACCCAUAAACACAUGGCAAAGUAGAGGAUGGGUCGGGAUUCGCAGAGACGGGAAGAGCGAAAGAAGGAUCCAGGCGCGGUGGCUCACGCCUGUAAUCCCAGCACUUUGGGAGGCCGAGGCGGGUGGAUCAUUUGAGGUCAGGAGUUCGAGACCAGCGUGCCCAACAUGGUGAAACCCCCGUCUCUACUAAAAAUUAGCCGGAUGUGGUGCUGCACGCCUGUAAUCUCAGCUACUCUGAGGGUGAGGCAGGCAAAUCGCUUGAUCCCGAGAGAGGGAGGUUGCAGUCAUCGGAGAUCGCGCCACUGCACUCCAGCCUGGGCGAGAGAGCAAGACUCCACGUCAAAAAUGUUUUUAAUUAAAAAAAAUAAAAAUGUAUUUCUCUUAAUUUUCUUCUUGCCUCCCUGAUCACUUUACACUUUUCUCUUCUAGUAUGUCUUGAGCUCUGUUUUCUGAAUGUGGAGUGACCCUCAGCUUACCCCUCG